rnacentral:rRNA from 1 species
UACAAAAACAUAACCUUUAGCCAUUAAUAAAUAUUAAAGGCAACGCCUGCCCAGUGAAUAAUUAAACGGCCGCGGUACCCUAACCGUGCAAAGGUAGCAUAAUCAUUUGUCUAUUAAUUGUAGACCAGCAUGAAAGGCAAAAUGAGGGUUUAACUGUCUCUUAUAGUAAAUCAAUUAAACUGAUCUCCUAGUAAAAAAGCUAGAAUAACACCAUAAGACCAGAAGACCCUGUGAAGCUUAAACUAAACUACUAAAACAGAUAGUAACUACUUUCGGUUGGGGCGACCUUGGAAAAAAAAAGAACUUCCAAAUACAAUGACUAUAAAUCACUACACUGGCCCACAAGCCCACAAUUUAGACCCAGCACAGCUGAUAAUUGAACUAAGUUACUCCAGGGAUAACAGCGCCAUCUUCUUCAAGAGUCCAUAUCAAAAAGAAGGUUUACGACCUCGAUGUUGGAUCAGGACAUCCUAGUGGUGCAGCCGCUAUUAAGGGUUCGUUUGUUCAACGAUUAACAGUCCUACGUGAUCUGAG